rnacentral:rRNA from 1 species
UACGUAGGGUGCAAGCGUUGUUCGGAAUUAUUGGGCGUAAAGAGCUUGUAGGCGGUUUGUCGCGUCUGCUGUGAAAUUUCGGGGCUCAACCCCGAACUUGCAGUGGGUACGGGCAGACUAGAGUGUGGUAGGGGAGACUGGAAUUCCUGGUGUAGCGGUGAAAUGCGCAGAUAUCAGGAGGAACACCGAUGGCGAAGGCAGGUCUCUGGGCCACUACUGACGCUGAGAAGCGAAAGCAUGGGGAGCGAACAGG